UACGUAGGGUGCGAGCGUUGUCCGGAAUUGCUGGGCGUAAAGAGCUCGUAGGUGGUUUGUCGCGUUGUUCGUGAAAACUCACAGCUCAACUGUGGGCGUGCGGGCGAUACGGGCAGACUGGAGUACUGCAGGGGAGACUGGAAUUCCUGGUGUAGCGGUGGAAUGCGCAGAUAUCAGGAGGAACACCGGUGGCGAAGGCGGGUCUCUGGGCCGAUACUGACGCUGAGGAGCGAAAGCGUGGGGAGCGAACAGG
rnacentral:rRNA from 1 species